AUUGAACGCUGGCGGAAUGCUUUACACAUGCAAGUCGAACGGCAGCACGGACUUCGGUCUGGUGGCGAGUGGCGAACGGGUGAGUAACAUAUCGGAACGUAUCCAAUAAUGGGGGAUAACUAAUCGAAAGGUUGGCUAAUACCGCAUACGCCCUAUGGGGGAAAGCUAGGGACCUUCGGGCCUGGCGUUAAUGGAGCGGCCGAUAUCUGAGUAGCUAGUUGGUGGGGUAAAGGCCCACCAAGGCGACGAUCAGUAGCUGGUCUGAGAGGACGACCAGCCACACUGGAACUGAGACACGGUCCAGACUCCUACGGGAGGCAGCAGUGGGGAAUUUUGGACAAUGGGCGCAAGCCUGAUCCAGCCAUUCCGCGUGAGUGAAGAAGGCCUUCGGGUUGUAAAGCUCUUUCGCAAGGGAAGAAAACUUAGCCACUAACAUUGGCUGAGGUUGACGGUACCUUGAUAAGAAGCACCGGCUAACUACGUGCCAGCCGCCGCUGUAAAAC
rnacentral:rRNA from 1 species